rnacentral:rRNA from 1 species
GACGAACGCUGGCGGCGUGCUUAACACAUGCAAGUCGAACGGUGAAGCGCCUUCCUUUUUGGUGGGUGUGGAUGAGUGGCGAACGGGUGAGUAACACGUGAGUAACCUGCCCCCUUCUUCUGGAUAACCGCAUGAAAGUGUGGCUAAUACGGGAUAUUCUGGGUCUGUCGCAUGAUGGGUCUGGGAAAGAUAUUGUUCCGGUGGGGGAUGGGCUCGCGGCCUAUCAGCUUGUUGGUGGGGUGAUGGCCUACCAAGGCGGUGACGGGUAGCCGGCCCGAGAGGGUGGACGGUCACACUGGGACUGAGACACGGCCCAGACUCCUACGGGAGGCAGCAGUGGGGAAUAUUGCACAAUGGGCGCAAGCCUGAUGCAGCGACGCCGCGGGAGGGAUGGAGGCCUUCGGGUUGUGAACCUCUUUCGCCAGUGAAGCAGGCCUGCCUCGUUUGUGGGUGGGUUGACGGUAGCUGGAUAAGAAGCGCCGGCUAACUACGUG